rnacentral:rRNA from 1 species
UACGUAGGGGGCAAGCGUUGUCCGGAAUCAUUGGGCGUAAAGAGCGUGUAGGCGGCCCGGUAAGUCCGCUCUGAAAGUCCAGGGCUCAACCCUGGAAAGCGGGUGGAUACUGCCGGGCUAGAAUCCGGAAGAGGCGAGUGGAAUUCCUGGUGUAGCGGUGGAAUGCGCAGAUAUCAGGAGGAACACCAAUAGCGAAGGCAGCUCGCUGGGACGGUAUUGACGCUAAGGCGCGAAAGCGUGGGGAGCAAACAGG